UUUAGUGUUUAGUGUUUUUUAUUUAGAGUUUAGGAUUUAUCCAAGGGUGUAGGGUUUACACAAGGGUUUAGGGUUUAAGAUUUAGGGAUUAGGAUUUAAGAUUUAUGAUUUAGUGUUUUGCUGGUGACGUUAAAAAUAUUUUUUUUUCAAAUUAUUUUUCUGUAACUACAAUUUUUUUUUUACAUUUUUAUUUUAAAAACAUAAUAUAACUUGACAAUAAUUUUUUUUUAAAACAUCAAAUUUGAAAUAAUAAAGUCUUAUUGGUUGGUAAAUCUAGAGGUUCACCUUAGGAGAUGAAUCUAAAAAUAACUCUAUAUUUAUUUUAUGAAACUAAAAGAUUUGUGAAGACAAUAAAUGAAUCAAAAACCAACGCACUGAAACGCAGAAAGCCAAAUCUAAUGCGGUUCAGCUUUCCCCUACCACUGACUCUUAUGGACCUUGAGGAGGCAUUACAAAACACUGCAACGGACUUUCUUGCCUAAUGUGUCGAAUACACUUUUAUAUUUUGUAAAGUGUGCUGAUUUGAAUUCGAGUCUAGCUAAUCUAACAGGUUUGCAACCUACAUACAGUAUUUCUGAUUAGCUAUU
rnacentral:lncRNA from 1 species